rnacentral:rRNA from 1 species
AAGGAAUAUUGGUCAGUGGACGCAAGUCUGAACCAGCCAUGCCGCGUGAAGGAUGAAGGUCCUCUGGAUUGUAAACUUCUUUUAUCUGGGACGAAAACGGGAUUUUUAUCUCAAUUGACGGUACCAGAGGAAUAAGCACCGGCUAACUCCGUGCCAGCAGCCGCGGUAAUACGGAGGGUGCGAGCGUUAUCCGGAUUUACUGGGUUUAAAGGGUGCGUAGGUGGGCUUAUAAGUCAGUGGUGAAAUCUCCGAGCUUAACUUGGAAACUGCCGUUGAUACUAUAGGUCUUGAAUUAUCUGGAGGUAAGCGGAAUAUGUCAUGUAGCGGUGAAAUGCUUAGAUAUGACAUAGAACACUAAUUGCGAAGGCAGCUUACUACAUAUAAAUUGACGCUGAGGCACGAAAGCGUGGGGAUCAAACA